GAUACUAGUCGGAUUCUUAACCCUCUGAGCCACAGUGGAAACUCCAAAAUGGGGGUGAUACUAUGGCUCUCAUAGCACUGCUGUACGGACCAAACAGAGUGACUCAUGGAAUGUGCCUGCCACGCCUGGAGAAACAGCUCUCAGAGAUGAUGAGAACAGCAGAGACCACACAAGUCCAGGAUAGAGACUGUACCUGCAAGGCGUGCAAGCUCUUCGCGGGACCGUCCAGAACCCUUGAAAGGAGAUGGAUUUCACCGACGCCCACACAACGCACCCAUAUGCUCCUAUGAGGCGCAAGCACGCAGGGAGCACUCGGAACCAGCUCCUUAUGUGAUGGAACCCAGAAGGCCCACAAUCUCUCUACAAGCUGGAGCCCCAGGAAAGCUGGUGCUAUAAUUCAGUCGGGUUUGAAGACUUAAGAAUUGGAACCAGUGGUCUGAGUCCCAGCCUGAGUCUGAACUCCCAAGAACGUCCAAGGGCAGAAGAGGGGUGUUUCGGCUCAAGCAGGCAGUAGACUCACCCUUUCUCUGCCUUUUUGCUCUAUUCAAGCCCUCAGUUUAUUGUAUCAUGCCCACAUGUCGGGGGGGGGGCAAUCUUUUUUACUCAGUCUACUGAAUUAAAGGCUAAUCUCUUCAGAGA